rnacentral:misc_RNA from 1 species
GAUGAAGAACGCAGCGAAAUGCGAUACUUGGUGUGAAUUACAGAAUCCCGUGAACCAUCGAGUCUUUGAAUGCAAGUUGCGCCCGAAGCCACUAGGCCGAGGGCACGCCUGCCUGGGCGUCACACGCCGUUGCCCCCCCAUCUACUCCUUCGGGAUUGCGGGGGGGCGGAUGAUGGCCUCCCGUGCGCCUAGCCGCGCGGUUGGCAUAAAUACCAAGUCCUCGGCGACGCACGCCACGACAAUCGGUGGUUGCGAAACCUCGGUUGCCCGUCGUGUGCGUUCGUCGCGCAUCGAGGGCUCGAAAAAAUGCUCGGCUCCGGCUGGGCUUUCAACGCGACCCCAGGUCAGGCGGGGUUACCCGCUGAAUUUAAGCAUAUCAAUAAGCGGAGGA